rnacentral:lncRNA from 1 species
UUUAGAAUAGGAAAAUGCUCAAUUAUAUCAUUACUUAAAUUAUAUGGAAAUAAACAUCAAACUUUUUGAAAAAAAAAAAACAUCAAAUUAGGAAAUUUUCUGUAAGAAAAAAAAGAUAUUCUUAAAUCUAAAAAAAUCAAAAACAUAUAUUAUUUUUCAUUUUAAAAAAAAAACUCUUCUCAUUUAAUAUUGUAAAAAGGUAAAAAAAACCAAAGAUAGACUCGACGAUGUCAAAAUUUUCUGAAAAAUAAAAACUUC